UCCGGGUUCGCUCUGGUUCAAAAUGGGGAAUCUGUCCAAAACAACAUUACAACUUGCUGAAGGCUUUCAUGGCCGGAAUCACUGGGUUGCUUGUUAACUUUGCCAUCCAUGGAAGAGGAAUCUAUGUUCUAGUACCUUGGUCCUUGCCUUGUUCCCGUGCCUCGUUUCAUGACUUCCAAGCCGAGUUCAUGCCUUGUGACUCUCGAGUAUACCUUGCCUUGCUAACCUCGGUUCUACGAUUCCUUGGUGGUUGCUUUCCAUGUGGAGUACAGUUUGUGGAUUUCCAGCAUCUUGUUCCUGUUCCUUGCGACUUCUGGCUGAUCCUGUUUGGACGGUGUUUACAGACUAACUCUAGCUUCUUGGUGGAACUAACGUGUUCCAUUUGUGGAUUACAAUAUUGAAGGGCUUUAUUGGACUUGCUUCUGAACAGUUAAGGACAUUAUAUUAUGGACUAUUUGUCAGAGUAAUUUGCAGCACAGCAGUAGAUGGAGUCAGUGGAAUAGAUGCUAUUUGCUUCUGAACAGUUAAGGACAUUAUAUUAUGGACUAUUUGUCAGAGUAAUUUGCAGCACAGCAGUAGAUGGAGUCAGUGGAAUAGAGAACGAAGAGACAUCAGAGAUGAUGGUAAAACUAUAUACAAGUUUUAUUGAAAGCAGUAAAAAGACAAACAGACUUGCAGACAAACACAGGACUCUCACUCUAGCAGACAGCAGAACAGAACUAAACUGAUGUAAUCAGUAAAGCAUACACACUUGUGUCUGGACACUCCCCAGUUCCAGCCACACAUACUGAUUGCAUCAUCCAGAGUGUACUAUAGUCUGUAAAGAGUUAAUUACUGAGAAGCUUUACAGACUAUAGUACACUCUGGAUGAUGCAAUCAGUAUGCAAUACAAACCAAGACACAAAUUGUAUUUAAACACUAUCAAUACACAAAUCCCACAUUAACACUAUUAACUCUAUUGACUUUAAAUGCUAUUUGCUUGCAUAUAUGUAUAUCCUUCAAUAAACCGCUUUGCUUAUGA